AACGGAUAUCUCGGCUCUCGCAUCGAUGAAGAACGUAGCGAAAUGCGAUACUUGGUGUGAAUUGCAGAAUCCCGUGAACCAUCGAGUCUUUGAACGCAAGUUGCGCCCGAAGCCUUCGGGCCGAGGGCACGCCUGCCUGGGCGUCACGCAUCGCGUCGCCCCCCCAACUCCGCUCGAAC
rnacentral:rRNA from 1 species